GCUUCACACACUCUGUAUGCCCUCGCUGUGCUGUGAUAUAGAGUGCUGUUGUUUGUUUCCGUUUGGAGGUAUGGAGACAGGAAAGACGGCAGAUACUAGAAUCAAGAGCAAAAAACAAACUGCUGGAGCAACUCAGCAGGUCAUGCAGCAUCUGUGGAGGAAGGCGGCUGGACAAGAUCCUCUCCUCUAGCCAUCUGGGAGGCGAGGUUACCAAGGAAAUUAGUACAACUGGGGACACUGGAUCAGCUGAAAUUAAAGAUCCUGCAACUCUCUUCGUAACCUCAGCGACCGGAGUGUCGAGGAAGCAGCAAACGUAUCCCUGAACAUGGUGCAAGUGCGGUCACUGUGACAAAUUUCAUCAAAUCUUGAAGCGGAUUAGAUUCAGAUGAUCCGCG